rnacentral:sRNA from 1 species
UUUUUUCUCUUCUGUCAAAUCAAAUUCGCCUUUGUCUAGAGAUUU